rnacentral:rRNA from 1 species
UACAGAGGGUGCGAGCGUUAAUCGGAAUUACUGGGCGUAAAGCGUGCGUUAGACGGUUCUGUAAGUCGGAUGUGAAAAUCCCCGGGCUCAACCUGGGAAUUGCAUUCGAGACUGCAAAGCUUGGGUGCGGGAAGAGGGAAGCGGAAUUUCCGGUGUAGCGGUGAAAUGCGUAGAUAUCGGAAGGAACAUCAGUGGCGAAAGCGGCUUCC